GGGCCUGUGGCGCAGCUGGGAGCGCGCUUGAAUGGCAUUCAAGAGGUCAGGGGUUCGAUCCCCCUCAGGUCCA
rnacentral:tRNA from 1 species